AUGUGAGGGUGAUCUGGCUGCGACAUCUGUCACCCCAUUGAUCGCCAGAGUUGAUUCUGCUGAUCUGGCUGGCUAGGCGGGUGUCCCCUUCCUCCCUCACGGCUCCUUGUGCGUCCCUCCCGAAGCUGCGUCAAAGAGGAUGACCUUCCCUGCUAGAGGAGGACCGGUCUUUGGUCAAGGGUAUACAGGUAGCUGUGCUCCCCUGCUAGAACCUCCAAACAAGCUCUCAGUGCAAACAUUUUAGAAAUCCAUGCAUAGUUUUUUUCCGCUGCAAUAUGCAUUUCCCAUGAAUUUCUGAGGGCCUUGGGUAUGAUG
rnacentral:snRNA from 1 species